GCCCUCCCCUUAAAACCCCAGGCCAUGAACAGCCAGGCGUGACUUCUCUGGCCCCCCUUGGACCACUGAAGCUUGCCUGGGAGCUGAAUAAAUUAGCUUCUCACUUUCUUAUAGUUGCCUCAGUUUCCUCAUUUUACUUCAGCAAUAAAUUUUACAUUUGGUGCCAAAACCUGGGAGGAGUUGUGAGACCCCCUCUGGAGGGGGAAACUGACUCCUCCACACAAGGCCGGACCAGGAGCUGCUCCGCCAUGAGGAUGAUUCCUGACCUUGAACAUCAAACUCUAAGUUCUUCAACUUUUAGACUCUUGGACCUUCAACCACAGACAGAAGGCUGAGCUACUGGCUUUCCUACUUUUGAAGUUUUGGGACUCAGACUGGCUUCUUUGCUCCUCAGCUUGCAGAAAGCCUACUGUGGGACUUUAUCAUGUGAUCAUGUGUAACAUGUACUUGAGACUACUGGAAAAGCAGUUUUACAUGCGAAGCAUUCAAGGAAAGUAAAAUGUGCUUUUUGGUAAAAAAGAUUAUAAUCUGCAUGGAAAUGCAGAUUUUUUUGGCAAAAAUGUUUAGAGGGUUAAAGGAUUGUUUUAAGUUAGAUAGGAUAAAGCUAAAGGUUUGAGCAAGUUGUGGAAGAUUUGUGAAAAAUUAAUCCCAUAAAGGAAAUUCUUUAUGAAAACACACUGGCUAAAAUUAAAGGAGUACUACUCAGUUUAUUCAUAAAUUGAACAUUAGAAUAAAAGCACAACAUUGUUUUCUUAGAGUAUUGUUCUGCUCUUUAACAAAAAAAAACUGUAAAGGUUUUAAAAAGGUUUAUGAAAAUCUUACUUUAUGGUCAAACAAACUAAGAUUUAAUAGAAAUGUGUAUAAAGUUUUAUUAAGAAUUGGAUUUGCCAUCAACAAUACACUAAAGCAAAGGUAAAAUCUGGCUUUCUGGGGGCUGUAUUUGUAUAAAUUUAUUAUUGGCAUGUGUUCCAAACUUGUGCCAAACUCCUGAAUUCUAAUGUGACUUAGUAUACAUUAUCAGUCAUCACUAUAAUUGUUAUGUUAAAUUAUUGUGUUCCACAGAGGUGACAAAUUUCUUUUUCAAUUGUGUCUUUGAUUAUGGCUGCCCUAAGACUUUUUGUCAUUGACAGAUAACUGUUGUUUUGUUUUCAUCAUCUUUAAAAGGUGUUUUUAUAAUCAACUGUAAGACUUUAACAAGUGCUCUUACAUGCAGGUUUCUGAAAACGUUGGAGACUGUGACAUUAGAAUAAAGGAAAUAUGUUUAGGAUUAUUAUGGAGAGCUAAAAUGUUCAUGAAUAUUAAGUAAACAGGAGCUAACUGCAUGGACUGAACUAAUGGAAAACAGAAAUAAUCCUUCUAUUUACAGCUUUAAAAAUUGCAAAAAAGUAUAUUCCAUUUAACAAAAUUUGGAGCAUAUUGCUUUCUCUCUACCUGAUUUCUCCAGUAUUUGGAAGCUGAAUAUUCUUAACUUAUAGCAAUGUACUUAUUUGCAUAAGUGCAAAUAAGAAUUUGUUUUUAUUUACAACAGGACACCUUGGAGAAACUGGUUAUUUUACCAGUAGUUUGAAUUACAUGGUGGCCUUUCCUUUAAAAAAUCAAAUUUGACUUAUAGCGCCAAAAAAAGCACCUUGGAAAAACUGGCCUUAUGCUUUGUCUACACAGUCCCUGUACAGGGUUUCUGGCCUAUGGUAAGUAAAGAAUGUCACUUUCUGACAGGGCUGGGAGCCCCAAGUUGUCUUGGGACCUCAAAAGGAGAGGAAUUUACUCAACUCAUACAGGUAUUCGAUGGCACAAACCCAUGGCUGGGCUAAAGGCUUUAAGUAUUAUUCUGAAAUUCCUUACAGAAUGAAAUUACAUCAAAGCCAAUUUAAAAGGGGGCCUAUAUGACAAAUAAUUAUUCUUGCUGUGCUGUAUACAAACAAUCAGGACAAAUUUAAUAAGACUAAAGCUUAUUUUGCAAACAAAUCAGUCCUAUUAUAAUUGUUUUCAUAAAAAUGAGGACUGGAGAGAGAAAAAUUGUGCUUGAAUAAUAGAAGGAAGGAAAGGAGGGUGGGGAGAGGAAAAGGGAGAGGGAAUGGGAGAGGGUACAUGUAUGGCACACUUGUUAUUAGAUUCUAGAUUUAACAGUUGUUUUAGAGUUUUUGUCUGCAGUUUAGACUAGCUCUACUUAUUCCUGUGAACCAACCAGUAGUCUCUGGCUGCAGCUCAGAAGAAACAGUAGGGAUGAGUUAUGUAAAAAAUUUUUAAAAAUAUAUAUACAUAUACAACUCCUCGUUUCAAAUUCUUCUGUUUCAGUUUCCUGAGUAGCUGGGAUUACAGGCAUGUGCCACCACACCCAGCUAAUUAUUGUAUUUUUUAAGUAGAAACAGAGUUUCACAUGUUGGCCAGGAAUGGUCUUGAUCUCUUGACCUCAUGAUCCACCCACCUCAGCCUCCCACAGUGCUGGAUCAAUAUUUUAAUUCUGGGCACAUACUGGAAUUGGUAGCAAUCCCAUGCAGCCAAGACUUAGCAGGUAUGACUAUAGUUAUUAAUACCAGCUACCUGGAUGUGUCGGCAGUCUCAGAACUUUUUGGAGCUGUGAUCACUCCCUUAUUUUGUUCUGACAUUCUAAAUUUAAUAACCCGAUAUGCUUCCUCUAGCCUUCAGGCCAUCAAGCUCCAGAUGAUCCUCAGUGAGGGAUAAUGUCCUCUCAAUAUUCAAGACUAACCCUUCUACAGAUCCCUAGACUGCCCAUCAGGGAGACAUGAUAGAGGCAAAAUCCUGCCCCAUCCACCUUGGAACUGGCUGGAUACUGCUUUCACCAAUCCACGGAGCCACUGUCCUACCCUGACAGCUAGCAAAGAGGCCAAGAACCACACAACAACCACCGCUACCCCUCUGGCAGGAGCAAGCAGUUACAGAAGACUGAGCUUCAUCCAUUUUCCUCAAUUAAUUGUAAUCUUGGACUCUUAGGUGGGGGAAUGUUACAGUGGGUAGCUAGUCAGGCAUGAGCAGGGCAGGAGAGGGUUUCCCUCCCAUACAUCAAGAAUGUCAGGCAGCCAUCAGGUGAUGGUUGGGCAGUUGUUAAUUGUCUCUCUGAAAUAAUAUUUGGUCGCUGCUGGUGCCAGGGAGAGGCAGUCUUCGAGUAGAUAGAAAUAACGUGACACUGGUAAUCAGCACCUUCCCAGUAAGAUUUCAGGUAUUAGGCAAGUGGGCUCAAGCAUGUGCAGUAGAGGCAAAAUGGCAGGGUUUAACUGCUAUAUGACCAUCCAGUGACAUUCAACUGCUAAGGAAAGAAUGCCUCAAAUGAGCAUGCAUACAACUCCUGUAAAUACACAGUCCAUGCUCACCUCCCAUGUGCUAGCAAGCCAAUGUGCAUGCAGACAGCGCAUCCAAUGGGAAAAAUCAGGAGAGAAGGGAUGCAAGACUCUGGAAGUAUGCCAACAUAUAAAAUCCCAAGUCAAAGGUCAAACAGGACACUUUAUCUCUUAAGUCACCCACUUGGCCCUCUUUCAAGUAGAUUUUAUACUUUCAUUCCUGCUCUAGAGCUUCUUAAUAAAUUUUCACUCCUACUCUAAAUCUUGCCUGGGUCUUUCCUUCUGCCUUAUGCCCCCCAGUCAAAUUCUUUCUUCUGAGGAGGCAAGAAUCAAGGUUGCUGAAGAUCCAUACAGACUUGUCAACAAUAAUAGAAGCAUAGGUGAAACCCCUGCUUGUAUCACUUUCACUAAUGUCUCAUUGACCAAAGCUGUGGUAUGAUUAAGCCUACCAUUAUUGUGAGGGCACUACAAAUGACAUAAGUAUUGGCAGCCAAACUCUUUGCUUCUCCCCUAUAUAACAAUCUACUACACAUGAGAAAUCUUUUUAUAUUCACAUGGGAGUCUAUGAGAUUGAAUCUCUAUUUUUCUACAUUACUCUGUGAUAAAGAGAAAAAAUUAUAUCCUCCUCCCAUUUUUAACAUCUCAAACAAAAGCAAUUUGAUAAAUAAGAAAUAUUUCAGGUGAUGAGUAUUUAAUUUUUAAAGGAACAAUUGUCUGUCACUUUCUAAUAAAGCCAGGGGAGUAUGUCUAAAAUCAAAUGUUAAAUUGGAUUUUAAAAAUAACAAAACCAAUUACCAUAUGUGCAUUAUGAAUCCUUUUUUCAGACACAUAACAUUAUAUGGUAUCUUUCUUUCUGAGGAAUAGUUUCUACCCAAAAAGAAGGCCCAAAUUUAAAUAGUCAGGUUGUUCAUCAGAACUUCAAAUAAUAAUAAAAAUACACAUAAAAAUAAAAAGGGAACUAAGUUUAGUGAUUGGUUACUUCACUGAAGAAAUAAACCUCUGCAUAAAUUAUAAAUGAGCUUAAAUACAUUGGUAAACUUAUAAAAACAUUAACUAUAAUUCAACAAAAAGUUUAUAUGAAGAAACAAACCAAGACAAGUUGCUGAGUACUUUAUUUGACUUUUGUCUGAGGUCAUUUGAUGAACCAGGUGGACUUGUUUUGAUUUUUAAGAGAUUGAGGACAAUAUCUAAAGUCUGUGGGUUUAACUAUGUUUAGGAGUCUGAUAGGAGACAUACCCUUAAAAGAGGCAACUAAGGAUUACAUUUUUACAAAGGUGAAUGUAAAACAAACUAACUCCACCUUAUGAAUACUACAAGGAAAGUUCUUGUCAUAAUUUUGAUAUUGAAAUUGAUUUGAUUUGAUAUUAAAGGGGAAAAUAUCUUUCUCAAGAAUUUUUGACACCAAGUUACUUUCUUAAAAUGGCUUUGCAAUGAGAAUGUAUACUGCAUGGGUGGUGCCAAGAAACAUUAAAUAAAUAAUUUAAUUUAGUAGCCUAAGCUACUGCCUCAGGUUCCUGGAAUAAGUAAAAUCUAAUAAUCUAAAAAAAUCCAUUUUCCUUCUAUAACUCAAAUAAUUUUCAGAUAAACUUCUAAAAAGUAAAAUGUAUCAGUCAACCAUGAAAGAAAAACAAGGUAUGAGUGAGAGGUUAACUGGCUCUGUGGCUUACUGACUAGCAUGCUUUCUGAAAUGUAUUGCUACCUGCUGGCAAGCUUGUGCUUUGAGUUGUGCUGAUUUUUCUGCAUUUACAAAUCUUACCAAGUCUCUCUUUAGACUUCAUCAACGUAAGCUGGAAGUUUUCAAUAAUUAGUGUGUAGAGACAGUGCUGUGGGAAUGGAGCUCUCCUUUUAUAAGUGGUGUUGGGAGUGUGUCCCAGAAUAGAUUUACUAUCUGUGUGUCUCAGAUUGUAGUAUGUGUCUUGAUUCCAGCACAAGCCACGAUUGACACUAGAGUCAGGAAAAUCUCUCAACUAUUGACAGGUGGGUGUGUGUCUUACCAUGCAUUGGCCCUACUCUAUAGAAUGUUCUGAGGAAAGACUGAUAGCUUGUGAAAUAUGUAGGCCCAUUGGAGAUAGCUCAUAUAGGGGAAGAGAAGUCACAAUGUGACAUGCUGAGGUCACAUUAAUGAAACAAAUGACUUAUUAAGAAUUUACAAAAUACCAACAGUGGCAGUGUCCAUUUUUCUAAAAUAUUUCAUACUGGUCAUAGCUGCUGUGACCCAACAAGCAAUAAAUUAUAAUUAAAUUAAGUCUUUGGCCUUUAACUAUUGGUUUGAUAUAAUGAAACCCUAUGGCUCUUACUCCAAUAUAACAAGUUAUCAAGCUCUAUAUAAAUUGAAACACGAUCUUCAAGGAUUAAAACCCAUUAUACAAGACAUUUAAAGAAGAGUUGGUUAUCCCUACUGCUUCUCAGUUAACAGCCCAAUUUGGCCUGCUUCUAAACCUGAAAAAAUAAAUGGCACCUUAUAGUGGAUUGUUAUAAUGCUAAUGCUCCAGUCAUACCAAUUAAGGCACACAUACCUACUAUUAUUAAAAUUACCAAAUUCAUCCAACCAGCAACUGAUGAAUAUUUUGAAUCUUUUGUAGUUGUAGAUUUGUCUAUUACAUUCUAUUUAGUGUUUAUUUCAAUAGGCUCUUGGAUGUGGUUUGCUUUUACUUUUGAAGUGACACAAAAGAAGGUGCUUACCUAGCUAUCUAUGGGCUACAUCAACAUUCUUGUGAUCAUACACAAUCUUUGUAGGUAAGAUCUUAACUGUAUCCAACUUUACUCAGGAGCACAGGUAUAACAUCACACUUAUGACAUCCUGCUCCAUGGAGAUGCAUUUGAUAUAUUUAUUCAGGACACACAAAUAUUGACAAAGGAGUUCAUAGAAAGAGGUUGAUCAUUGUUUCACUCAUAGUACAACGGCCCACCACUUCGUCACAUUUCUGAAAAAUUGUUAGAUAAGCUGAGGGCUGCUCUAUCCCUGAUACUGUCAAGAAACAGCUACUAGUCUUCUCAGCAACCAUGAUAUUAAAACAAGCAAAAGUUCUUUUAGCCUUUGGUUUUGGAGACAGUAUAUUCUUUAUUUAGAAAUUUUACUUAAGCUCAUAUAUGCUGUCACUCACAAAUCAGCAUACUUUGAAUGGAACCUCCAAUAACAAAAGUCCCCAGCAUCUGUCCAAAUUGCAAUAGAAGAUUAGUGCUCUCCAACCAGACUCCUUCACUCUAGCAGCUUUAGCAACCUCCUCUUAUUUUUCUUGGGGUCUUGUAUAUAUCAAUAAUGACUAUAUAAUGCCCAUAGGCUAUUAGUGCAAGCAAUUGCCUUCCUUGACUCAACAUUAUAGGCCAUUAGGGUAACACUGCUAGCUGGAAUUGUUAGCUCUCUUAGAUAAAGAGAUGUCACAGGACCCAAGCUUAUGGCCUUUCAUACCCAGCUGCUGCCCAUUACACCUUGGGUCAAGGUAGCAGCACUCCAUGAGCUCAGCAUGGCCACUGAAGUCCCCUUGCUGUCAAGUUAAACCUAGGUAUUUUGGAUUUUCCCAACUGUAGGAGUUGGAAGGGGCUGUCUUGCCCUCAUUUUCCUGCCAAAUGACACAGUUAUGGGGGAGGUUGCACUUUUCUAUAUCCCUUAGCUUCAUGGGGGAGCCCCUUGGUAUCAACUGUGUGAGCAGUAAAAGGAGUUCAUGUAAGAGGGAUGGAAACACCACUAUUAUGUGUGAUGCUGCUCACUGGAGGGCUGUUUAAAGUGCUUUGCAUCCUUCAACUGCAUGUUCCUGGUCAAGGAUCAAAACCAAGGGUCAGCAAAACUGACUAAACUUUACUCAGCCACUUAACACUAGAUAUCCUGGCUAACAAUCAGCCUCAUAUACACAUUUUUACAGCAAGAAUUUCUUAACCAAGAUUCCCCUGUAAGGUUAUAGUACAGUACAGUACAAGCCAUCACUAAGAUACUCCGUCUCCUAGGAAUUCUAGACAUUAUUAAUAGUGACCAAGACUUCUCAAAAUAUACAGUGUCAGACUCUUCAACAAGGUACUCAGUAUCAUUUUGGAUUCAUUGGGACUACCCACUUCAACAAAGGCCCAAAGUGCAAGAGUCUUGGUGACAGAAGUAUUUCAAAAAGAGGCUGAGAGCACCUUCACUACUUUAAUGCUUAUUGUCCAGCUUAAGGCUCUACUCUCUAAAUUCUGGUGCAGUACUCUUCAGUCACCCCAGGUGUGGCUUCAGCGGACCCCAAUACAGCAUGAGCAGCAGUGAUUUCCCCUCUGAAAGGCACAUGUGGUAAACCCUGGCAGCAUCCUUUGGUGUGCAAAAUGCACAAGGACAUGGCCACCUCCACCCCAGGUUUCAAAAGAUACAGCCAUGUGGAACUUUGAAAGUGUAAUCCAGGAAGAAGGAUUCCUUCAGGGCUAGAUCACUGCAGAGAACCUCCACUAGGGCAAUGCCUAGUGGAACAAAGCAGGCAGGGCAUCCCGGCAACCUCAGACUAGUAGAACCACUGGCUUGCAAUUCCAACCUGGUAAAACCACUGGGACUGCCUACAACCUGUGAGAGCACUGGCACUUACUGGGCCCUGAAAAGCCAUAGUAAUGGGGCCAUCCAAAACAGUGGGAGCUUGGCUGCCCAGGGCCUUUGGUAAACAAACCCUGCUCAACAGAGCUGCAGAGGCAAGACCUCUGUGCUAGUGGGCCUGGAGGGAAGAUUCUCAAGUCUAUGAUUAUUCUCUUUUUUUAUUUUUUUAGAAAGAAAGAAAGAGAAAGAGAAAGGAGAGAGAGAACAGGAGUCUUGCUCUGUUGCCUAGGCUGGAAUGCAAUCUAAAAAUAGGUAUUAAAAACCUCUUUUAUGCCGAUAAUUGUGCUUAACAGUGGAGACAGGAAAAAAUAAGGGAAGAAAAUAACAAACAAACAGCCAACCAAUAUUUCAUUUAAGGCUGUGAAAUGCAGUGCAAAUGCUGAAGAAUGAUUUACUUCCAAUUAUGUGAUCACUUUCAAAAUAGGUGUAAUGUGAUACUGAGAAAAAUGUAUAUUUUGUGGACCUGGGGUGAAGAGUUCUAUAAAUAUUCACUGAGUUUACUUGUUCCAGGUCUGAGUUCAAGUCAUAGAUGUCCAUGUUAAUUUUCUAUCUCGUUGAUCCGUUGAAAAAUAUUAACAAUAUGGUGUCAAAGUCUCCCGCUAUCAUUGUGCGGGAGUCCAAGUCUCUGUAUAAGUCAUUAAGAACUUGUAUCUGGGUGCUCCUAUAUUGGGUGCACAUAUUUAUGAUCAUUGACUCCUGUUGUUGCAUUGAUCCUUUUACCAUUAUGUAAUGUCCUUCUUUGUUUCGUUUAGUCUUUGUUACUAUUAAAGUCUAUUUUGUCAGAGACAAAAGUUACAACUCCUGUUUUUUUUUUUUUCUCUCU